rnacentral:rRNA from 1 species
AAGGGGGGCAACCCCCAAGUAGAGUGGCGAACGGGUGAGUAACACAUCGGAACGUGCCCAGUAGUGGGGGACAACCUCGAGAAAUCGAGGCUAAUACCGCAUACGACCCACGGGUGAAAGCGGGGGACCGCAAGGCCUCGCGCUAUUGGAGCGGCCGAUGUCCGAUUAGCUAGUUGGCGGGGUAAGAGCCCACCAAGGCGACGAUCGGUAGCUGGUCUGAGAGGACGACCAGCCACACUGGGACUGAGACACGGCCCAGACUCCUACGGGAGGCAGCAGUGGGGAAUUUUGGACAAUGGGCGCAAGCCUGAUCCAGCCAUGCCGCGUGCGGGAAGAAGGCCUUCGGG